AACGCACAUUGCGCCCGCCGGCACUCCGGCGGGCAUGCCUGUCCGAGCGUCAUUUCAACCCUCAGGAGCCCCUUCCGGGGGGCACCUGGCGCUGGGGAUCAGCGGCCCCCGGGCCCCUGUCCCCCAAAUGCAGUGGCGGUCGCGCCGCAGCCUCCCCUGCGUAGUAGCACACCUCGCACCGGAGAGCGGCUCGGCCACGCCGUGAAACCCCCAACUUUCACAAGGUUGACCUCGGAUCAGGUAGGAAUACCCGCUGAACUUAA
rnacentral:misc_RNA from 1 species